rnacentral:lncRNA from 1 species
UUGACAUGCAUUACCAUAAUGAGUUUUGAGGACUGAAAGGUCAAUUCAAACCACUAACUUGGCCUCUUCAGCAAGAACCCUGGAGUAUUCAAUGCAGACACAGUGAACUCAUGUUCUCUAUUUUUCCUUGAUAGAAGAAGGGUGUCUGGUAUGAUGUCAACUCAAGAGUAUUUGUUUGCAUUGCUUCUUUAUAGAUUAAAAUUCCUUCAGAUGAAUUUCUGCCAGUUGUAUAAAUUUAUCCUAAUUCUUCCAUGCCACUCUCCUAUCGUUACUAAAUUGGAUUUUGGUUAAAGUUUGUGGAAGUUUGGGGCUACUUUUACAUAUUUUAAGGUCAAGUGAUAACUCAUUUAAGCCCUGGAGGAGAAACACCUAAGGCUAAUUUUAUUCUGUAAACAUUUUUUUUUUUUUUUUGCUGUACUAAGGAUUGAAGAUGGCUUUGCCAUGCUAGGGAAGUGCUCUAUCCCUGAGCCACAUCCCCUGUGCACUCACAGCCUUUUAAAAUUUUAAAAUUUUGAAACAGGAUCUUGCUAAGAUAUCCAGGCUGGCCUUGAACUUGUAAUCCUCCUGCCUCAGCCUCCUGAGUUGCUGGGAUUACAGGUGUGCACUAUUGUGCACUGCUUUACAUUUUGUUAGAAGAUAUUCCAGUUAAGCUUGUGCUAUUCAAAUCAAUUUCUUCACUGUAUCAUUUGUUAAGAUAGGAAAAAUGAGAACUUGAAGUAGAAAUUAGUAUUUUUUUGAUGCUGGGCAACAAACCCAGGGUCUUGUGCAUGCCAAGCAUGUGCUGUACCUACAGCCCCAGCCCAGCAAUUGAGUCACUCAGUUGAUUAUUUUUCCUUAUUUCUCUAAGAAUAAAAGAAUAGCCUGCUGUGUUUGAUAGUUGCAAUGUUUUUCUGAAGAAUUAUUGAAGAAAAUCAGAACAUGCUUAUUUAAUCCUAGAGUCUUUUUUUUUAACCUUGAGGGAAUCGUGACACGAUUUUUGUUUUCAUAGCCCAUCCCCAUUUUCUUAGAAAUAAUAAUUUUCCAUUUUAUUAUAAGUGAACUAAUUUGUGUGCUGAGUCUGGUGGUUUAAUAUCCAAAGGGUCUCAUGCCUGAAUUCCUUUUUAAAAAAUUCAUACUUUUUAAAAUUAUGUAUUGAUAAAUUAUAGUUUAUGAAUUGAUGAGGUGCAAAGUGGUAUAGGAUGUUUGAAUACAACAUGGAGUGAUUAAAUUAAGCUAAUUAAUGUCUGUCAUUUUAACCCAUCCCCUGGAUUUCAUUAUUACCAGUCCCAAAAUAUUUUGUCCUCCACCUCUUUCCCUUUUACCUUAAAUUUGAAACUUUCCAAGUAUAGUCAAUUCUUGAUAUUCUCAGUAGGUGGGUUCUAUAAAGUUGCAGUGGACUCUGAAUUCGAGAGCACUGUCUCGAAUUCAUCGUCUCUAGGGGAAAGACAGGGUAGGUUCCUAGAGCUGCUGGUCUCAAUGUUGUGUUUGGCUGAUGAAUAUAAAACUCUGUGUUAUGUGUAUUUAUGUCUAAAGACACCUUAUUUGAUAUAUAUUGUUGACUCACCUCCAUUGGAUUUGCGGCGCCAUAACGUGCUUAAACUUCCUUGUUCACCAUAACCCCUAACAGAUCUCCCUAAGGCACACUGCUGGACAACUUCAGCAAUACACGGGGAGGCCAUUUUUUAAGCUGGAAAUCACCCACAGAAAGAACCCAAGUGUGGAAGACACUGGUGCUAAGCAGGCUGAAAGGGUCGCUGUUCACAGUGGGAAAGCGGAAAGGAGAAGGCAGGGAGAACCUUGCUUUGCUCACCUCAGCUCAUCAGGUGACUUAGUCUCUGCACAUAUACUCGAGUGAUCCAGAAAUACCAUCAAAUACUGAUUCCGAUUCAACAAUAAACGAAGUUUCAUUAAGCAUGAAGUACCUUAACAAAUACAUUUUAGCAAGUAGGUGAACUUGCAUUACAAAGCAUGAAUAAUGAAGUUGUACUGUAGCUAAGGAGUUUCUAAUGACUUAUUUUUCUUUAAUACUGUUAUUUUUUUCAUCAUUCCUAUGAUCGUCCAUCAUUUUUCCCCCUCUUAAUACUGCUAGCUUAAUCAUUCCAUGUUAGGACCUUGUUUUAGCAUCAUUCUCUUUCUUGACACAGCACUGAGAACUCUCUCACUUGGGGUCACUCAACACAGCACUGAGAACUCUCUCACCUGGGGUCACUUAACACAGCACUGAGAACUCUCUCACCUGGGGUCACUCAACACAGCACUGAGAACUCUCUCACCUGGGGUCACUUAACACAGCACUGAGAACUCUCUCACCUGGGGUCACCUACCAUUCUCACAAUUCAGAGGAAAAAGCGUUGAUCAGAGAGGUCAAGUAUCUUACUGAUUGGAAUCCUGACUCAGCCCUUCUUGACCCCCCAAACCCACUCUUCAUGCCACCAGCAUUUUCCCAGAUAUAUGGGUAUAUAUAUAUUAUAUAUAAUAUAUAUAUAAAACAUUUGUAUCCUCUCAGGACCCAGGAAAACAUGUCCAAGAAGUAUGGCAGACCCUGGGCUGAAUCCCUGGGUUGAACUAGGUCAAAAUAUCCUCCUCUCAGCCUUCCGUACAUUUUUUCCCCCUUACAGCUCUUCAAAAAUGUGCAGUAAGUUUUUAGAAGGAAAGAGUCAGUUAUAUUGUACCUUCCAUACUUGAGACCCAGAAGUUGAUCUCCUAUGACAUUUGAGAAAUAUAAUUUGAGGAAACUGCUGCUGUUAUGGUGGCUUUAGGAGAAUAUAGAAUUAACCCAAGCCACAGGCUUUGGGAAAAACCAUUGCCAGCCUAAUUUUAGGGAAUAAAAAUGUCAAUGAGGGGGACAGUAGGAGAAUACCUCUAGUUUUGGUUUCUAGAGAAUUCUGGUUUGAAGUCGGGAUUCUUGGGGGCUGUAGAUUUAUGGUUAGGUGGGUUUACUUCUCCCUCAUUCUACCUCUGCCACUUAUUAGCUAUGUGACCCUGAGACUGUUUCCCUAUUGGUGUGUUUGAGAAUUAUUCUGAGGAAAUGCCCUGCACAGUUCCUGGAAAUAGGGAAAAAUAAACUUAGGCCUCUCUGACCCUCUCUAAGAGAGGUUUCUUUCCUCCUCUGAUGUCUUUCAGCUUUUGGCCACAAGGUGGCGUGCCACGAUAAGAAAACCGAGCGUCUCAAGUUUACUAGUUUUUGUUGUUUUGAGCCUGCAGGUGCUGAUUAUUUUGUAACGAUUUUAUCACCACUUAAAUCGCUUUUUGUAGGAUUUUUUGAUGAAAAUACAUGCAUUUCAAAAUAUUUUAUCUGUGACAAAUAGGAUGUUUUAAAUUUCUACAGGUAAAUACUGCAGGGCAUGUAGUCUAGACCCUUGUGCCAAUAUAGAGUGUAUGAAAUUUUUGAUUUAGGAGCAUCUUGGCCUCUUUCUCAUCCUAGAGGUAUGGACUGAAAACCAGAGAGAACACUCUAAAAACAGGUUAUUUUCAUCUGUUUCUACUCCAGUUGCCAAAAGUGAUUUAGUACGACAUUAAGUGCACUGUGUUUAUAUCCAGCUACAAAAGUUGUAUAGAUAUUGAUUAACUUUUUAUUUUUAAAUAACCUAAGACAGAAAAUUUAAAAAAAAAUUCUGUAUAACCUUCAGAUUUCCCGAAUGUUAACAUUUUACCAUAAUUGCUUUAUUUUUUUCUGAAGUGUUUGAUAAUAUGUUGCAGACUGAUGCCUUUUUAUGCUUGAAUGCUUCUGUGUGUAUUUUCCCCCCAAAAUGAAUAUUGAUACAGUUUUUUUGUGUGUGUGUGUGUGUGUGUGUUUCUGGGAAUUGAACCUGGGAGCUUUCUGCCUCUGAGUUAUCUCCCAGACCUUUUUGUUUUAUUUUGAGACCAGGUCUUGCUCAGUUGCCCAGGUUGGCUUAGAAAUUGUAAUCCUCUUGCCUCAACCUCCCAAGUGGCUAGUAUUAUAUUUCUGUCGUCUGGCUUCUUAUGCUUUUCAAGUACCUAAAUGAACUUACCCACAGAGAAUAUAUCAUAUGUUUAUAUUUCCCUGAAUGCAAAUAUGAAAUGUGUUAAUAUUUAUACUUAUUAUACUUGUUAUUUAUACCAUGUUUUAAUUAAAAGAAAAACAGUCAAUA